GUAGGGAAUCUUCCGCAAUGGACGAAAGUCUGACGGAGCAACGCCGCGUGAGUGAAGAAGGUUUUCGGAUCGUAAAACUCUGUUGUCAGAGAAGAACAAGUCGGAGAGUAACUGCUCCGGCCUUGACGGUAUCUGACCAGAAAGCCACGGCUAACUACGUGCCAGCAGCCGCGGUAAUACGUAGGUGGCAAGCGUUGUCCGGAUUUAUUGGGCGUAAAGCGAGCGCAGGCGGUUCCUUAAGUCUGAUGUGAAAGCCCACGGCUCAACCGUGGAAGGUCAUUGGAAACUGGGGAACUUGAGUGCAGAAGAGGAGAGUGGAAUUCCAUGUGUAGCGGUGAAAUGCGUAGAUAUAUGGAGGAACACCAGUGGCGAAGGCGACUCUCUGGUCUGUAACUGACGCUGAGGCUCGAAAGCGUGGGGAGCAAACAGGAUUAGAAACCCUAGUAGUCC
rnacentral:rRNA from 1 species